UACGUAGGGUGCAAGCGUUGUCCGGAAUUAUUGGGCGUAAAGAGCUCGUAGGCGGCCUGUUGCGUCCGCUGUGAAAUCCCGGGGCUCAACCCCCGGGCCUGCAGUGGAUACGGGCUGGCUAGAGGCAGGCAGGGGAGAACGGAAUUCCUGGUGUAGCGGUGAAAUGCGCAGAUAUCAGGAGGAACACCGGUGGCGAAGGCGGUUCUCUGGGCCUGUACUGACGCUGAGGAGCGAAAGCGUGGGGAGCGAACAGG
rnacentral:rRNA from 1 species